CUUAAGUUUAAUAAUUUUAAGUAAUGCCUAGGCAUAAUUUGUUUACUAAUUUGGAGAUGCGUGAUAUGCUUUGUGUUUACGCGCAAGUAAAUUUUAAUGGACAUCAUGCAAGACGCAGGUAUCAGGAAAUAUUUCCAGAUAGACAACAACCAAACCAUAGUUAGAAAGACUAGGAGAAACUGGUUUAUUUCGCCCAAAAAAUAUUUCCCAAGAACAGGAAGGAGAAAUUUUAGUUCUCGUAGCAAAAAAUCCCGGGUUAAGUACUAGGCGAAUAGUGGUAGCUACGGGUGUAAGCAAAUCAUGUGUUGGUAAAAUAGGGUGACCGACGGGAACUUGACGUUUUUGGGAUGGCUAGUACUCUGCUGCCGGUAAGAGGAGUAGAGAGCCGAGUUACUAACCAUUAAGGCCGAUUUACACGAUGCCAGUAACUGGCGCCAGUCUCACUAGCACGCCAGCGCUGGUAUCGUAUAGACACUAUUCUGUGCCAGUCCAGUGCUGGCCGACUGCACUGGCGAGAAUAGAGGGUUCGCCUAUUUUUCAUGCCAGUCGAUUUCUCCUCCAUGCUCCGCAACACCCGCGCCAGUGCUUAGGCAGCGUCUAAACACAUUGCCGCCAGUCAGUAGCAUACUUAGGAAGGCAGUCUUGAAAGUUGAAUUAUUUAGUUUAUUUUUUAUAAUUAUUUCUGGGUGUUUUUAAAAAAAUGGCCCGUAAGUUUAGUGCAGAAAAAACUUAAAGCUUGUUCAACUGUAUAGAGAGCAUGAAUGCCUAUGGAAUAUUCGAUGCUAGGAAUAUAAAAACAAACAAAACCGAACAUCGGCUCUUCAACAAAUUCGGACCGAAUUUGGUAUAGAAGGUAUUACGAUUGAGGACAUAAAAAAUAAGAUAAAAAGUAUUAGAAAUACUUACUAUUUAGAAGUCGAUAAAAUCGAGAAAUCUACUAGAUCUGGCGCUGGAGGAAAUGUCUAUAUACCGAGAGUAACAUGGUUUGAGGAAUUAAAUUCCUUUAUCAAAAAUGUGGCAGUAAAACGAAGAACAACGGAUAACAUAGAAAAUGUCGAAGAAAACCCUAUCAACGACAUGGAACGUUCAGUUUCACCAAGCUCGAAAAAUAGGUGUCAGGUUGCUCUGGCAGUAACAUCACCCGCGGAGAAUGAAUCAAGCGCAGAAAAACGGCCACUUACUACAGCAUCCCUAAAAUAUAGAUAAAAAUAUGGAAGAAACAGAACAUGACGUAUUUGGAAAGAGUGUAUCAGCUCUAUCAGAAAUUAUCCGAAGAACAAGCAAUCAUUGCUCAAGAAAAAAUACAGAGCAUAUUAACUCAAUGCAGACUUGCUGAUAUAAAAGCCAAGAAACCUAAUUCCACAUAUUUUAAUAUUCAGCAACCGAUGCAAUCAAACAUGCCCUCUCAAGCGUAUACCAGCGUCCAAUAUCAGCAGUCGAGCUACCAGCCAGCAUUAUACUGUCCGCCACCAGAAAUCAGUCCAACAGGCACUACAACUUCUUCUUCGGCUUCUCACUACAACGAUGAUUUUUCCCCAAUUUCAUAUCACAAUGAUAGCCUGGACGAAAGCACACAA